rnacentral:rRNA from 1 species
GGGCCCGCACAAGCAGUGGAGUAUGUGGUUUAAUUCGACGCAACGCGAAGAACCUUACCAGGGCUUGACAUCCUCUGACGGCUGUAGAGAUACAGCUUUCCCUUCGGGGACAGAGAGACAGGUGGUGCAUGGUUGUCGUCAGCUCGUGUCGUGAGAUGUUGGGUUAAGUCCCGCAACGAGCGCAACCCCUAUGGUCAGUUGCCAGCACAUCAAGGUGGGCACUCUGGCGAGACUGCCGUUGACAAAACGGAGGAAGGUGGGGACGACGUCAAAUCAUCAUGCCCCUUAUGUCCUGGGCUACACACGUACUACAAUGGCAACAACAGAGGGCAGCCAGGCCGCGAGGUUGAGCGAAUCCCAAAAUGUUGUCUCAGUUCAGAUUGCAGGCUGCAACUCGCCUGCAUGAAGUCGGAAUUGCUAGUAAUGGCAGGUCAGCAUACUGCCGUGAAUACGUUCCCGGGCCUU